rnacentral:lncRNA from 1 species
ACACAAAUGAAUUUUAUCUGGUGGAUUCACAUUUGAUUUCUGCCCUGUGGAAAAGAUGAUCCAGGAGUCAAAUGUGUUUUGGAUGAAGGAUUCAUAUAUACUCAACAUGAUGCUCCUUGUGGUUGUACCUUGAGGCCAAAGACACAUUUUUGAGGAAGAUGUUACAGGUCACAUGUAGGGUAAGUGUCAAGUCAACAUGUCUUUGAAUGGAGGUCAUC